UACGUAGGGGGCAAGCGUUAUCCGGAUUUACUGGGUGUAAAGGGAGCGCAGGCGGCGUGGCAAGUCAGAUGUGAAAACCCGGGGCCCAACCCCGGGAGUGCAUUUGAAACUGCCAUGCUGGAGUGCCGGAGAGGUAAGCGGAAUUCCUAGUGUAGCGGUGAAAUGCAUAGAUAUCACGCAGAACUCCGAUUGCGAAGGCAGCAUACCGGCGCCCAACUGACGCUCAGGCACGAAAGCGUGGGUAUCGAACAGG
rnacentral:rRNA from 1 species